GGAAGAGGCGGGGUCCGCAGCCAGCCCAAUCUCAUUAGUGGCCUAGUUGAUACUCAGUCUCCAGCCAACAUGCCAGAGAAGGAUGUGAAGAUGAGGAUUUGUCUCACUGGAUUCCAAGCAGAUUUACAGCACUGAUGUGGUGUGUGAUCACAGCAAUGCGAAGUAACACAGUGACCUCAUCUGGUGUGACUUGGGUGGAUGACGGGGACAGUGGCCCUGGGAUGAACAUGAACCAAGGGGAGCAAGUGAAGUCACGGUGAGAGAGUGGCCAUCUGCUCACUGAGGAGAGAGGCCGUGAGAGCAGCUAAGUUGCCACCACCUUGAUCUUACACUUCAGGUCACUAGAACUGUGAAAAAGUAAACUUACGUUGCUUAAGUCACUCUGUCAACAAUAUUUUGUGAUGGCAGCCCUCUCAGACCAUCACAAACCCAAUGUUCAAAUAACAGGGUACUUGGGAAAUAGGUUGUAGUUCAGCCGUCCUAUGGAAAACAGUAUUGCCCCAAGAUAUACCAAUGCCAGCUUGCAACUCUGACAUCAUGGAGACUUCACUUAACACCUUCUCCUUGCUAUGUGGGAAUUUCAUUGCAUUUACAAUGUAAAUGAGCUUUGGGCAGCUGCCAUGGUAUCACUGGAAGCAGAGUACACUGGAAGCAAGCCUUAGGUGGAGCACAAAUGGCAUUGCUUCCAUGGUUCCUUUGUCUCUCUCAUUUUAUAUUGUUUUGAUUUCAUAACUUUGAGAUUUCUAUCAGUGAUUUUUGAGUUCUUGUACUAACUGUGUACCAUAACAUAAAGUAGUGACUAUCUUCACAUAACAACUUAGCCUUGCUGUCUGAGUUACUUUUUAUGACUGUAAUAAGAUGCCAUAAGCCCACAGUAACUUAUAGAAGAGUUAGGGUUCCACAGGAUUAGAGCCUAUGAUGGUGGAGCAAUAGGAAAGUAAAUAAGACAAAGCUUGGCACUGCCAAUCAAAACAUAUGUCACUUUGGGUUGCUCUGGAGACAAGACUCGGGGGAAA